AGCGAACGCUGGCGGCAGGCCUAACACAUGCAAGUCGAGCGCCCCGCAAGGGGAGCGGCAGACGGGAGAGUAACACGUGGGAACGUACCCUUCAGUUCGGAACAACCCAGGGAAACUUGGGCUAAUACCGAAUACGUCCGUAAGGAGAAAGAUUUAUCGCUGAAGGAUCGGCCCGCGUCUGAUUAGCUAGUUGGUGAGGUAACGGCUCACCAAGGCGACGAUCAGUAGCUGGUCUGAGAGGAUGAUCAGCCUGACUGGGACUGAGACACGGCCACGACUCCUACGGGAGGCAGCAGUGGGGAAUAUUGGACAAUGGGCGCAAGCCUGAUCCAGCCAUGCCGCGUGGAUGAUGAAGGCCCUAGGGUUGUAAAGUCCUUUCGGCGGGGAAGAUAAUGACGGUACCCGCAGAAGAAGCCCCGGCUAACUUCGUGCCAGCCGCCGCAGUAAAAC
rnacentral:rRNA from 1 species